GUUCUUUUAUUAAAGAAGAAAAAAUGAUGGAAAAAUCAUUCUGACGGUAUUUAAUGAAUAAGCCCCGGCUAACUAUGUGCCAGCAGCUGCGGUAAUACAUGGGGGGCAAGCGUUAUCCGGAUUUAUUGGGCGUAAAGGGUGCGUAGGCGGUUAAAUAAGUCUAUGGUAUAAGUUCAACGCUUAACGUUGUGAUGCUAUAGAAACUGUUUGACUAGAGUUGGAUAGAGGCAAGUGGAAUUCCAUGUGUAGCGGUAAAAUGCGUAAAUAUAUGGAGGAACACCAGUAGCGAAGGCGGCUUGCUGGGUCUUAACUGACGCUGAGGCACGAAAGCGUGGGGAGCAAACAGGAUUAGAUACCCUGGUAGUCCACGCCGUAAACGAUGAGUACUAAGUGUUGGGUUAAACCAGUGCUGAAGUUAACACAUUAAGUACUCCGCCUGAGUAGUACGUACGCAAGUAUGAAACUUAAAGGAAUUGACGGGACUCCGCACAAGCGGUGGAUCAUGUUGUUUAAUUCGAAGAUACACGAAAAACCUUACCAGGUCUUGACAUACUCUGCAAAGCUAUAGAAAUAUAGUGGAGGUUAUCAGGGAUACAGGUGGUGCAUGGUUGUCGUCAGCUCGUGUCGUGAGAUGUUGGGUUAAGUCCCGCAACGAGCGCAACCCUUAUCACUAGUUUACCAUCAUUUAGUUGGGCACUUUAGUGAGACUGCCAAUGAUAAAUUGGAGGAAGGUGGGGAUUACGUCAAAUCAUCAUGCCCCU
rnacentral:rRNA from 1 species